GAACGGAAGAAGUGAGAAACAACCAACUAAUUGAAACUCACGUAAAAGAGGCCAACAACGAGAGAACGGUUGAGUCUCUGACAAUGAGGAUUUCCAGAACUCCCACUUCAAAAUCCGGGCUCUUGUUGAACAGCUUCGACCCCAUUUUAUGCAGGUUCUUUAGACACCUGACUUCAGGAAUUGCAAAGCAGCUCAUGAAAUUCGAAAAGACUUGAAGCUUGUUUUGGAUUUAUACUAAACAGCUGAUAUUGGAGACAGACCCACCUGUGAAUCUUGUGAAAGAACAGCAAACUUUAUCUGGUGAAACUGUUUUUGGAGUGCAAGCUUCUGACAAAUUCUAAGAGGGAAAAGAAGCAGAGCUACUUAAAACUGAACAUUGUGUAGAAAAAUCAACAGAUAUAAAGCAUCCAAUGCCUUCUUCUAGCUCAGGGUGGAAUCUCAAUGGUAGCCUAUUUUGUGGUAGCUAUGUUGUGGUUGGAAUUUCAUCACUUAUGGGGGCUGUAAGCCAGUUUACUAUGGGGUAACAAAGGAGUCCUGUCGAGUAAGCAGACAAAGUCUUAAUUAUAGUCUGUGCACCGACACCAUUCCUUCAUGACGAUAAGAAGUCACCUUUGGUGAUGUACAGAAAAAAUUUUGCAAUGAGAUAAUAAUGUUGCAGUGGCCAUGAAAAACAGAGAAUGGUUCUAUGCCCUGUAUAUCUUUUGAAAUUUUGAUUACAACUUAGAAGAGGCUACCUAUAGUAGUGUAGAAUCCAAACAGAUUGGUUCAUUCUGGUUGACUGAGAUGAAUGAAAUUUAAUUACUAUAGAUUUCAUUUCAAU